GCAAAUUGUUUCAGUAUUCCAACCAUAAUGUGACCAUUCAUAAUCAUAAACUUCUUCAUAUUUUAAAAUAAUCAUAUAUAAAUGGAUAGCCACAUAAAAUCAAAAUGAGGUCAAUAUUCCCUAUAGCAAAGGAAUGUGAAACACAUUUUAUAGAAAAUAUAUUUUUAUUUGUUUUAUGGAAUAUUAUAAUAUA
rnacentral:snRNA from 2 species